UUUCCGUAGGUGAACCUGCGGAAGGAUCAUUAAUGAGUUGUCAUGGGGUUCGAUGCUGGCAGCCAAUUUUUGGAUGCAUGUGCUUGCCCUAACAAUCAUCUUCCAAACACCUGCGCACAUUUUCGAGGGAGUCUUGAGUUGGUUGCCGCUCUUGGGUGAUUUUCUCACAUUCCCUUAAAUCAUUAUACGCUAUUAACAAUGUUGAACGUGCUCUGUGCCGCAAGGCUAUUAAUAUAAUACAACUUUUAACAACGGAUCUCUUGGCUCUC
rnacentral:misc_RNA from 1 species